CACACCAAGCACUGCUGACUCGUACGUCCCCAAAUUUCCAACAAUUCUCUUGUCCGAUUCUAGACUAAUGUAGGCCUCAACCUUACAGCAAAUUGCCGGCGGCAUCCACUGUCUCGAAUUAAACAUCCAGCCUAAUUCAGCAGGAAUAUAAUCAAAUCCACACGCCGAAACAGCUAACGAUCCAUUCACCACAGCCUUAUCAUGGUACUUCACCUCCAUCCUCUCCAUAAACUCCGGCUCUCCACAUAUAUCCAAGUAAUCGCACCCAGAAUCAACACAGGCCUCAACGACAGGUUCUCCAUAAAGACGAAAUGGUCCGACACAGUUGAGGAUGAUCUUAGUCUGGGAGGCGAGGUGACGGAGUGAAGCCGGGUCGGUGGUGUCGGCGAUGAGAAUCGGGAUUUCGGGUGGCGAGUUUGGGCCGGAGGCCCAUUGCAAAGCCUGGGAAAGUUUGGAAGUGUUACGGCCUGCAAUGGCGAAGUUCUUCAAGGGGGAAGAAGGAACGUUGAGGAAUUUAAGAGCUUCUCUAAUGACGUAUUUGCCUGUAAAACCUGAAGCACCUAAAAUUAUCACGUCGUAAGUUGGGCUUGGGAUUGCGUUUGGGUUUGGGUUUGGGUUUGGGUUUGGGCUGGGCAUUUGUGACAUUGCCCGAUUGGAAAUUGUUGGAUGGUGUCCAAAAUAGUCCAAUAUUUUUGGCAAAAUGGUCCUAUUUCUUUUAUAUGCAGCAUUAGUAGUCCACAUCUUUUGGCAAAACGUUGCAUUUAUGACCCAGCCUCCGUCAGUUUUUAACGGAGAAAAAUCCCAUGUACGCCUCACGUGAAUUUUUUCUUUCCUGCCAAACUUCAAUGCAGUAGUAGAGAAUCCAUCAAAAUCAAUGCUCCUCAUCCUGUAGUUGGUUUGGAGGUGAGUUAUAGGAGUAUUAAAUUUUGUAUAAGUAAUAUUAUGUUUGACAAUUGAUUAUGAGAUAAAUUCUUCAUUAUAAAAUGGGAAAAUUGUAUAUAAUAGCAAACUAUUAAUUUAAAUUAAAUGAUAUAAACAUAGUUUGAUUUAAUUGUACCACAUAACAAACUGUUGUUAUUUCGCCUCUCUCCUGAUGAAUCUCGCUCGCCACUCUCGUUCUCUCCCUCGCCUCUCUCGCUUUUUAUACAAACACAAAUGUAUAAAAUGUGUUUGUGUUUGUAUAAAGCGAGAGAAAAUUGUAUAUAUACAUAUAUUCUCGUUCCCCUCUUCCAGAUGUCGCUCGCCAAUCUCUCUCUCGCUUAUACAAACAUAAAUGUAUAAAUUAUAUUUCUGUUUGUAUAAAGCGAGAGAAAAUUGUAUAUACACAUGCAGAUACAUAUACACUUAUAAUUAUACAAUACAAAUAUUCUCCUGCCCAGUUCUCUUUUGUCUUUCUCUCUUUCUCGCUUUAUACAAACACAGAUUAUACAAUUGAUCUUUUGUAUAUGUUUAUCGAAACAGAAAUAGAUUAUAUACAACUGUUUUCUUUUGUAUAUGUAUAGCGAAAUAUACAUAUUUAUGUUUGCUAUCAUGCGCAAUUAUGCAAACUAUAACUAUAGUAUACAAAUAUGAUUUUUGUGUUUGCUAUAUGUGAAAGUUGUUCUUAUAAAAUUAAUUUUAUGUUUGAUUUACAAUGGUUUGGGUCGUGUAUCUACGUCCAAUCUACAGUAGAAAAGAAGGUUCCAUCGGAACAAUUAUUUAUUUCAGUUCAUGGUUCUUUGUCUCUCUUUUUUUUUGAAAAAGAAUAAAAAGGGGGGGGGGGGUUGUGAGGAGAAAUGACAAGAAGAUAUUGGAGCAUAAAUUUGGAAGAGAUGAUGGAGGCAGGGAGUUCAUUUUGGUCAUGGCACUAGGAAAUGGAAUCCUAAAAUGGCGCCUUAUAUCUCUGCAAAGCGUAAGGGUAUUCAUAUUACAAAUCUUACUAGAACUGCUCGUUUUUUAUCAGAAGCUUGUGAUUAGUUUUUGACGCAGCAAGUAGGGGAAAACAAUUCUUAAUUGUUGGUACCAAAAUAAAGCAACUGAUUCAGUAGAGUGGGCUGCAAUAAGGUCCCGGUGUCAUUAUGUUAAUAAAAAAUGGCUUGGCAGUAUGUUAACGAAUUGGUCCACUACAGAAAUAUAGGUUAUGAUUUUUAUGCAAGAUAAAAAUAGCUUAAAAAUAUACAUAAAUUUCUUCAUAAUUAAUUGUUAUAUUGCUAAUACAUGCAUAAUUUUUACCAGCUACUCAACGACCUCUUAGAUGCCAUGAAAAUGACAAAGAGAAUUUAGUUGUAUGUCCCUCUGGCAUAAUUUUUUUUCAUUUUUACACGUAAAGAUCUGAUUCUGAGUUUGGUAUAAUUCUUACUUGAGGCAUAUUAAAAUUAAGGUAGCAUAAGGGAACAAGUGAACAAUGAAAGUUUCAAAAUGUUUCUAAACAAGAUUAAGGCCCAAAACUCUAUUUGGGAGUAAUAAUAAGAAGAAGAAGAACAAGAAAAUAUAAACUAAAUCCAAUUAAUGGAUAGAGAAACCUCUAUCUACUCUUGAUGCAAUAUUAUGAUUUCUUUGAUUAUGAUAGGUAACUAAUGACCCUAACUCCAACUAAGGCAUUUUGUUUAGUUGUACGUGAAUGCACACGGGUUGCUUCUCUCUUGAUCAGAGAUCUCAGGUUCAAAACAUCAGUAUGAAAAAAUUCUUGGUAGAGAGCGCUAUCGUCGAAUGGGUCCUACCUAGCGUGAAUUCGAUUAAUCCAAUUUUAAUGUAAAAUAUCAGACACCAAAUAAAUAAAUAAAAGAAAAAAGAAGUGAACGGACACAGAUAUAUGUUAAUCAUGAUGAUCCAUAAACAUGAUAGAUAAGACGCAGAUAUAAUUAAAUUAAACAGAAGCACCUGAUCGGUAAAUGAGAAAAUGAAAUGUGAGGAAGAGCCGAAGAGCAAGCCAUAUAUACUUCUUUAGUGAUUGCUUCUUUGGGAGCUCGAUUUGGGGGUUUAUAUAGGAAAGGGAUGAUAUUUAUUAUCACUCAACUCACAAGAGUUUUCUUAAAAAGUCACUUAACUUUAUUUUAUAACUUAAAAGUUAUUCAAUUAUUGAUAUUUUAUUUAUAAAAUAACUCAAACUUAAUACAGCUCACAAAAAUUAUAUAAGAUAUAUUUAUCAAGAUCCUUUAAUUUUAGAGAAUUUUACAUGGUAACAAUGCACACGUGAUAUUAUUUAGUUUAUGACAUUCCGUUGUCAGUCGGUAUCCUGCGAAGAUAAAUAUACAUUGCAUAAAUAGUUAAAUUUAUUAUAUUUUUAUAAUUAAACCAGAGAUGUAACAGAAUAUUAUGCCAAUAUCAGUUUUGAUAUAUAUAUAAAAUAAUAAUAUGACUUUAUGAUAUUACCGGUAAAUAUGUAGUAUAUUUGACUCAUGUAAUUUUAGGGAUCGAAUCAAGUACGGCGGGUCAAUAAAAUGAUUAAAAUUGUUACUUUUUUAUUUUUUUUAAAUUUAACUUUAAAAAAUUAUGAUAAAUUGAUUGAGUGACUUUUUAAGUGAAACAUUAAUAAUUGGGUGAUUUCUUAAAAAAAAAAAAAAAACUAUCCAAUUAACUAUUGUCUUGUUGUUUUUACAUCAAAUUAUCCACUAUAUAUAAGAUUUUCGUCUUCUAUUUUUCCACCUGAUCGAUAUUACAACUUACAAGCAUUGGUCUUGACAAAAUAAAAUACGUUUUCUUUCAAUAGCUAAUUAAACGAUGAAAUUUAUAGAACCCGAAAAGAGCAGCGAAGAAGCCAACUAAAUCUAUUGAGUUAUUUGUGGUCUUCAAGAAUAAUAUUCUCCGCUUAUAUGAACACCUCUAUAGCACACAAAGACACCAUUUUUUAAAGAAUAAUGACACGCUUAAUUUAGCUCUUUUAAGAAAAAAAAACUUACACGAGACGAAUUGAAAAAUAAUAAUUGCUAGACGGGGUGGAUCUACACCUUUAAGUUAGAAGUUUGGCAGCACCAGGCCCCUUAUUUUCACCUAUUACUAUCGGCAUGGACCAGUUUUGAGAUACGGACGGACAUGAAGAAGGCAUGCAGCAAAAAUGUUAAAAAAUAAAGUCAAAGAAAUAUGAGGUUGUUUGGAAAACGAAGAAAAAGAAAUAUAGCUAGUACAAAUUGCUACUGAUCAGGACACUCCUACAAGUCAAAAAAAUAUGAUUGAUUUUAUAUUUAAAAAUAUUAUUUUUCCAAUGCCUAUUUGACUUACUAUACAUUGAAAUUAAAUGUAAUUAUCACAGGUCCUUUUCAUAAAUAAAUAAAAAAAAAAAGUAAUUAUCACAUUCAAGAACCCAACAUAAAAAUUUCCAACCGAAAAAUCUAAUCGAUAUAACACGGAAUCAAAUUUUAAAAAAAUCAAACCAACAGCAAUGAAUUUUGGUUUUCAAAUUGAAAAAUCAAAUCAAACUUUUUAAAAUCGAACUGAAUGCCCACACAAAAGAUCACUGCAAAGAUUAUCAGUUUCACUGUGUCUAAAUUCCCCUUUUAUAUUGCAUGAAGCUUUCAUGAUUUAUUUCUGGUUAUGUGAGAGCCAUAUGGGACUUUGGAGGAGCACGUCUAUCUUACAUCUCUUUAACUUCCAUAUGAAUAUUUUUCUUUUUCUUUUUUGUGUUUUCUUUGAAUACGUGAAAGUCACGUUUCUUGCAUGUGAUUUUCAAUAUGACUAAAACUGCAGGGAGCAGUUUUCUUUGAAAUAACAUCAAAAGAUAUUCCAUUCUCUUGAAGCCUAUCUUGGAGGUCAGUUGGGCCAAACACAAUCCCAGGAGGGAAAACACCGCCUUUUGGAAGAUUGCGUCGUUCCUUGAGCAACAUUAGGGCACACUGGACUAGAAUGAUUGGAGUUGUCGAAUAACCAAUCUCAGGUCCCAUUACUCUUGUAAUUAUCUCCAUAUCAGGUUUCCUAUUUCCUUGUGACGCAAGGCUGCUGCCAUCACUAAACCCCUGUCCGACAAACCACAUCUUAAAGGAAGCACUUGCCACUUCAUCCUCAGUUGGACCUUUUUUCCUGAAAAAUCCAAGACUGAACACUAAAGGGAAGUUCAAAAGCAGCCACCUCCCUAUAUCAGUUUUACCAAAUAGAGCAAUGAACUUGCCAACUGUAAUGAAACGAACAACACCUAACAGAGAUUUCGAAGCUAUCUUCAUACCAAAGUGAGCUGGCUUUAUGGUAGACCAAAAUCCCUCCCUCCUCUCAAUCUGUUCGGUGCUUUCAUUAACACCAGGUAAACCACGAGAAUCUUCAGCCAAACAUGAAAGUGUUCUCCGUACCACAGUUGCAUCUGCUGAUGGUAACUUUACAGCCCAAAGCCCGACUUCCCUUAGGUGAUUUACCAAUGGACCUUUAGGAAUAGUACCAGGAAUCUGAAACAAUAUUAAUGGAGAGUGAGAGAGAAAUACUAUGUUACACAGAUCUGAUCGAUGUGUUAUUUAAGAAAACGUGAAUGUUGUCCCCACAGCUGCAUGCUACAUAUGUACGGCUUUGAGGAAUGUAAUAGCUAGCAAAUAUUGCAGGUAUCAAGUUGUAAGAAGUCCAUCUAAGAAUGAAUUUCUCUUAUCAUUUGGUUUGAUAAAUCCCCAUCAUUUACUCAUUCAUUCCACCAGAAAUCAACCAUAAAGUUUAUGAGUCCCUAUGAUCGAUACAUGCAUUCAUGAUAUCCAUCACAAGGUUUAUUUAUGAAUCACUACCAUAUACUCAUCGAUGUCAACAGUGGGUUCUCAAUGUCCAAAUGUAAGAUUAUAGAAGUGUAAACAUUCUGCAAAAUGAGAAAAUGACUUUAACAUAAUUCACUGGACAUUGACUAAAAGUUGCACCUUCAAAUUACACAUAAUACCUAAUCGACCUCUCAAGCUUUAAAGACCAAUUGCUUGUCACCAUACAGCAUUUCACCAGUGAAAGAAAAAGUAGUGAAGCUAGAAUAGUUACGCAAGCAUUUAACGAUGUGAUUGAACUGAGCCUUCCAAUAUCUAUCAUCAUUUGUUUGCUAGGUUUUGGCUACUGCACUAUCUUGUUGUUGUUUGUAUUUUUUCUUUAGGUUUUAUAUUAUCUCUCUUAAUAGUUGUUAUGUUUUUGUCAUUGUUUUCUUCUUCACACCUGAAAUUGCUGCACUUGAGCUGAGAGUUAUUCCGAAACAACCUCUCUACCUCCAUGAGAUAGUGGUUAGAUCUGUGUACACUCUAAUCUUCCACCACAAUUGUGGGAUUUCACUCGGUUGUUGUUGGAUGUUCAAAUUCUUUCCAAUCUAACUAAGUUAAAAGUUUGACUAUAUUUUCAUACAGCAUUGAUAGAAAGUAAUGAGCAAUAGAGAGAAGGUGAUAGGAACUUACCUCAGGACGAAGCUUCUUGGGUCUGGAGCGUCUUAGUUCCUGCAAAAUGUCUGCGUUUGCCACACUAAGCACCGCUGACUCGUACGUCCCCAAAUUUCCAACAAUUCUCUUGCCUGAUUCUAGACUAAUGUAGGCCUCAACCUUACUAAAUAUUGCCGGCGGCAUCCACUGUCUAGAAUUGAACAUCCAGCCUAAUUCAGCAGGAAUAGAAUCAAAUCCACAAGCCGAAACAACUAACGAUCCAUUCUCCACAGCCUUAUCAUGGUACUUCACCUCCAUCCUCUCCAUAAACUCCGGUUCUCCACAUAUAUCCAAGUAAUCGCAACCGGAAUCAACACAGGCCUCAACGACCGGUUCUCCAUAAAGACGAAAUGGUCCUACACAGUUGAGGAUGAUCUUAGUCCGGGAAGCGAGGUGACGGAGUGAAGCAGGGUCGGUGGUGUCGGCGGUGAGGAUCGGGAUUUCCGGUGACGGGUUUGGGCCGGAGGCCCAUUGCAAAGCCUGUGAAAGUUUGGAAGUAUUACGGCCUGCUAUGGCGAAGUUCUUCAAUGGUGAAGAAGGAAGGUUAAGGAAUUUGAGAGUUUCUCUAAUGACGUGUUUGCCUGUAAAACCUGAAGCACCUAAAAUUAUCACGUCGUAAGUUGGGCUGGGCUUUUGUGAUAUGGCCCGAUUGGAAAUUGUAAAACAUGUUGGAUAGUCUAAUAUUUUUGGCAAAAUGGUCCUAUUUCUUUUGUAUGCAGUAACAAUGGUCCACAUCUUUUGGCAAAAUGAUGCACUUAUGACCCAGAUUCCGUCAGUUAUUUUUUUAACGGAGAGAAAAUCUCACGUACGCCUCACGUGAUUCUUUUCUUUCCCGGCAAACUUCCAAAUCAAUGCUCCUCCUCCUGUAUUGCAGAUUUGCAGAGCAUUUAUGGCGCCAUGAGAAGUUAAAUGACCAAAUCACAUAGAGUCGUUUGAUAGAAAAUAAAUUUUCAUAAUAUAUUAUUUUUUGUAUAAUUUAUAUGGCGCUUGAUAGGUAAUUAUAAAAUAAUUUACCUAAGUAUUAAAAAUUAAUAUAAUAUUUAGUUGAUUAUUUAAAAACUCACUUAAUUAAUACAUGUAUAAAUUAUGAUGGAAUUUAUAUAUUAUUAUAUAUAGCAUAGAAGGUGGAAUAAUUAAUAUCUAUAUAAAAUAACUUUACAUAGAUUCACUCAUAAGUAACUAAGCUCUACUUUACUAAUACAUGCACGUAACUCUAUCAGCUGGGGCGGAUCUAACUUUAUGGGUGGAGUGCCACGGCACCCAGUGACCUCGGUUAAAACUUUGUAUAUAUACGUAUAUAAGUAAAAUAUAUGAAUAUAUAUUAUAUCUGUCACCCAAUGAAUAAUAUGUUGAAUGGCUCAACUGGCGAAGCACAACUCUAUCAACGUGAGAUUUGAGAGUUUGAAUCUCCUUGGCAGCACUUUAUCCCCCCCUCCCCCCACAGUUAGUUUCUUUAUUUGCUAAUCGUUACUUAUUUAUCUAUCUUUAAUUGAUACGUGCGUUGCAUGAUAUUUUAUAUUAAUUAUAGAUUGAUAUUUCCUCAAUCCUUAAUUAGUUGUCCACUUUUGAAUUGACACAUCUAUUAAGAAAACAAUUAUUGACAUACUGAGAUUAUUGUUUUACCCCUAUUAAUUAUGAAGUGGAUGAAUUAAAAGCUUAAGAUUUUCAAGAAGUUCUACCUUUUUCAAAGUAAUUAAUUGAGGGUAUAAUAGGUAAAAAAAAAUUGUCCUUUCUUGAUUUGUCAAAAUGAACAAGUAAUUAGGGACAACUAUAAAAUGAAAAGUGGACAAGUAAUUAGGGACAGAGGGAGUAUUAAAUUUUGAAGGUCACAUAAGUGUUAAUAAAAAUAUGUUUAAAUAGUUUCUUUUUUGAAAAAGUUUUUGAAAUGAUGGAUAGUAUUAUGUUAAAGAUUUUGAAUUUAAAGGUUCAAUCUUUAACGUCACACUAAGUGGAGAUAACAAGAUUACAUGUAUUAUUUUUAUUUUUUUUCAACUAUAUGGUGUUAAAUGACGUAUACACAUUUGAAUUUUUAAGGUGAAAAAUCUCUUGUUUUCUCAAAGUUCUAGAAUAAGGUCUCUUAUUCUUAAAAAAAUAUAUCAAAAAACAAACUAUUUAAGAGUAUAUAUUUCAUAUUAGAAUAUUUAAAAGAAAAAGACAUUAUUAAAUAUGUAUAUUUGAUCAAUUUAUUUAUAGUAAUAAAAAAACUAAAUAACCCGAAUAUUUACCAUUUAGAUGAUAUGGCACCCCUAGCCUCCGAAUCUUGGAUCCGCCUCUGUACCCCUUACGAUUAGGCCUAAAGAGGUUUUCUUGAUUUUAUUUUAUAGGUUGCUUAUAUUAUUAUUAUUAUUAUUUUGUUUUAUGUUUUUUUGUGAAUUUUUUUUUAUCCUAUUCGUAUAAUUAAGAUAUCUGGAAAAAACAUUUUCUAAAUUUAUUUUGUAAAUGGUCGAGAGAUCUCAAUUCUCAAAGCAAUCGACUCUCCUAAUAGAAAAAAAUUGGAUCUAAAAUAUUUACCCAAAAUGGUCGCUCUACUUGUUUUAUUGCAACCAAAGUACUGCUUCUUCUGAUAGCCCAUUUUGGUUUAGAGAUCAUUUAAUUUGGAUUACCGUUGGCAGUUAUAUUAUUCUGAAAUUCUUCCACGUAGAAUACCAUUGUAAUAGCCAAUACGUUUCAAAUUUACUAGACAAAUAAUUAACAUCUUAUUAUAUUUUUUCCUAUUUACGUCUAGAAAUGAUUUAAGAAAGUAAAUUAUCAAAAGCAAAUUUCAAAAAAAUUAUUCCCUCCCUUUCAUAUUAAUUGAAUUGUUGAGACAUUUUUCAUUUUUCAAAUUAACUUAAUUGUUCAAUUUUCAAGACUACUUUUAGAAUGAUUUUCCAAUUUUACCCUUCAGUAGUUAGUAUUGGAAUUAGUUAUUAAUUAAUGUUUAGUUAUUUUAAUCAUAAUUUUGAUAAUAAUUAAUAAGGGUAAAAAUGGAAAGUUAAGCCUAAUUUAUGUCUUAAUCUUCUUUUCUUAAAAGAGUGUGAAACACCUCAACAAUUCAAUAUUAAUAUAUUACAUAACUAUUUAUACAAUAUCUAUAUUACAUAUAGAUGUGGUCAUUUUGUUGGGAGGAAAAAUGGUCUCAUAAUAUACUUAAACGUAAGAAGCCAAGUUUUAAAAUGUUCUUAGACAAGAUUAGGGCGCAAAACUCAACUUGGGAGUAAUAAAAAGAAGAGGAAAAGAAAUAAACUAGUUCCAAUUGAGGGAUAGAGAAACGUCUAUGAUAUUCUUGAUGCAUUAUUAUAAUUUCUUUAAUUAUUAUAGGGGGACUAAUGACCCUAACUCCAACUUAGGCAUUGUGUUUAGUUGUAAAAGUGAAUACACACAUAUAUUUUCUUCAUUUUAAUUUAUAUAACAUAGUUCAAAUUCAAGAGUAAAACAAGAAAAUUUAUAUUCAAGAUUUGUUUGCAUGUUCUUUAAAUUAUCUUUCGACAUUCUUAAAGCUUGUAUGUCCAAUCCAAAUACAAAACUAAAAUAAAGAAGUUUGACUCUCAAAAUUUAACGUAUAUCAUAGUAUAUCAUAUUAUAAAUCAGAACACAUAGAGAUAGAGAAGGGAAGAACAAGCACCUUAGUAAAUGAGAAAUUGAGGAAGAGCAAGUCUUCAGAGGUUAAGCACUUCUUUAGUGAUUGCUUUUUGGGAAGCUCAACUUGGGGUUUAAAUAGGGAUAAAUGUUCGGAAAAACUACGCAACUACAUAUACAUUACUAUCAUAUAUACUAUAUUUACCUCUAGUUUAAAAUAAUUACACAUAUUACCACUUUUAAUAAUUAUAUCAUAUAUUUUAAAAUAUUUAAUCGGAUACACAAAUUUCUUAAUUAUGGUAUUGAAUAAUUAUCUUAAAUUUAAAUUCCUUAAAUAAUGAUUCAUUGACAGGUCAAUUUUUUCUAUUCCCAUCUGUCGUUGUUCCCCACCUCCAUGUCCAACAACCCAUUUUCUUCCUUCAUCUUCUCCCUCUUUCUUCCUUCAUUCUAUCAAUACAUGCAUGUUCAAAUCAAUAUUUUGCAUAUAGGUUUGUUUCUAUUGUUUUAUUAUUCUCAUGUAUCUGUUAAAAUUCAUAAUGUUUUGAAGUUCAAUUUUAAAAUUUUUUACAAAUUAGGUUUUAUAUUUUUUUGUUUGUUGUUUCUCAAACUCUUUAAUUUAAUGGCUGACCAUCCUCAAAAUCGGAUGAUUCUUGUUAAAGGUACUAUACAUUAACAAUGUUGGAUACACAUCAGGUGUACAUGUAUCCAGUUUAAGAGUUCAUGUAUCUGACUUAAGAUUAUAUGUAUCUAUGAGAAGAAAAAAAAUCAGAUGCUAAAAAUGGAAGAAUUUUUAAAUUUUUUACUUUUUUUUUGGAUUAAUGAUAAGACAAUUAAUACUCUACCAUCCUGAUUUGUUCCUAAAUUCGUGCAUUUUAGUUACAUUUUAUAUUUAGAUACACAUAAUUAAAUGUAUAUGCUUAUUAUGUAUCCGAUGUACAUGUUGAAUAUAGUGUAUGAAAUUGAUACUUGAUACAUCAAAUUAAAUACUAGAUACAUAUAAAAGAUACAUGAAAUUAAAAUUAGAUAAUAUAAAUAGAUACAUGAAAUUAAUACUAGACAUAUAUAACAAAAAUACACGAAAUAAAUCUAGAUACUUCUAUGAUACAUAUGGAUGUACAUGUAUGAUGCUCAUGUAUUUAAGUGUUUAGUUUGUUGGAUACCUCAUAUAUUGAUAAUAGAUACAUCAAAUUAAUGAAUUUAUUAUUUUAAGAGUAAUAAAAUGAAAUUAAUCAAAUUACAUAACUAAGAUAUACAUAUUUUUUGUCUUUUAUUAAUAAUAUUAAUGAAUUUAUUAUUUCAAAGAAUAAUAAAAUGAAAUUAAUUAAACAUAGAUACAUUGCUUGAUUUCCGCCUUAUAUUAAGGGAUUUGAUUAAUUUAAAUUUUUUAAAUUAAUUGUCCAUGUAUUCUAAAAAUCCUCAAUUACUUCUUUAAUUAAGGAAAUCAGUUACAACCAAUUAAUUUAAUAAAUAAAAUAUGUAUCUCAAUUUUAAAAUUCGGAAAAUACAUGUAUUUCGCAAAUUCCAACUCAUGUAUCCUAAGCAUGAAAUAUGAUAGAUGAAGUAAUAUCUGAAACUAUCGAGAAUCUUAAUAAUUAGGACCUAAAUGUUUCGUUCAUCUCCAUUACACUCUUCGUUUUUUUUUUAAGUGCAUAGUAGUUAGAGUAACAUUUGUCCAACUGUUUUUAUAGGUAUAGAUUGAAAUAAUUUAAUAAAUACCUUAAUCAUAAUUAAAAUAAUUGAAUUUUGAGAAAACGUUCUUAACUUUGAUAAGAAAAAGGUAUCUCGCCUAAAAAAUUUAAUGUCAAUUAAUAUCACUAAUUUUACAAAUAUCCAAAUAUUAAAAUACUCCCACUCCCCAACUUCCCUUAAAAUAUAAGCCUUUUAAGAAGAAGAAAAAAUUGAAUCUCAUGCUUAUUUUUAAUUUUCAUUUUUUUUAAAAAAAAGGUGUCCAUCGACCGGGGUUACAUUUGUGUGUCUUUAUAAAAUUUAUCUAUCUUUACACAGAAAAAUUUAAACUACUAACUCAAUAUUUAUCAGAUUAAAAUAUAUAUGGCUAUAUUGUAAUUUAGUUUUUAUAUCAGUUAAAAAAAAUUGGGCGCGACUAUAAUUUUACAAGAAAAUAUGUGAAAAAAUAAAUUUGUCCAUCGAAAUAAUAAAUUCAAAUUAGUUGUUGAAUCAAAUAAGUGAGAAAGAUUAAAUAUACUCCUCCAUGAAUUAUUUUUUAAAAUAAAAAAUUAAAAGGGUAUAAUGUGAGUUAUUUGUAUAAAAACGUAGGAAUAUAUAUGAGCUAUUUUCAUAACCAUGUAAUGCACCAGUAGAGUUAGGUGAUUUGAUGGGUAAAACUUAUCCGCAUCGGGUGUUUACACCAAGCCAAUACAUGCAUGACAUGUGUUUAAAUUUAUAGUUUAUUUUACUUCAUUAAAUCACGUAAUAAUGAAAAUUGCAUUGACUUGAUGUAAACACCUGAUGCGGGUUAGUUUUUUCCAUAUUAUAAUGAAUAUUUAUAUUUUCUACUAAAAAUAAAAAUAAAAAUAGGACAAGUGUAUUUGAAAAAAUGAGAAGUAGAUGUGAUAUAAAUAUAGCCAAAUCUGGCAUAAGAAAAAUUAAAAUAUUUCCUAGGUGGAAAUUUGGAGAUUAGAUAAUUGCCGACUCUUACCAAUUAAAUACUUUCUUUGUUUCAUAUUAGUUGAUCACUUAUUUAUACGGUGCUUAAAAUAUCAUAGAUGAUUUUACUAAAUUCAUCUCUUAAAAAAACUUCUUUGGAAUUUUACAAACAAAUGUAAAUAUUUUAAAAAUAAUUAAUUGCAAGGAUAAUAUAGAAAAAAAUAAUUAGUACUUUCUUAAUUUUGUAAGGUAAUCAAUUAAUUAACACUUUCGUGAUUAAAAAAUUGUUCGUAGUGCAUUUCUUGAAUAUAGGAUUAAUUUUAGACAAUCAUUUGCAAUGUAUUUGAUAGCUAAUGUAUGUUGGGGGCUUAGACAAAAAGAGUAUAUGAUAUCUUAAUUUUUUUAUCAAUAUUUUAGAAGUUUAUGAAACUUUAAAAUGUUUCUUCACGAGAAUAUUCUUUUUUAUAAAAAACUAAGCUAGAAAUUUAAGUAAAGUAGCCUUCAAAAAUUUUAGAAAAAAAAUUAAAUUCAUUUUACCGAAUAUCAAUAUCAUAAAAUUUCGAUGUCUAUCGUAUUAAUUAAACAAGAGGGUUUCCCCACUAGAUAAGAUACAUAAAUUGUGCUAGUACUUAUUAUAUAUUUGGUCAAUUAUGACGCAUAUACUUGAAAACCAAUAGCAGAGAAUGGGGCCAUAUUGAAAGUUUUGCAGGUCACCUCAUAUGAUCUUAAGCAUAUCGCGAAAAAAUAAAAUAAAGCUUUAUUAAAAAAAUAUUAUUUUUUUGAAAUGAAUUAAAAAAAUAAAAAAAACGAACAGAAGGAGUAUGUAUACAUGCAUACAGAGGCGGGUACACCCUUAGGGGUCGUUUGGUAGAGUGUAUAAGGUUAUUAUAAUUAUUAUAAUUAUUAUAAUUAUUAUUAUGAUUAUUAUUAUUAUUAUUAUUAUUAUUAUUAUUAUUAUUAUUAUUAUUAUUAUUAUUAUUAUUAUUAUUAUUAUUAUUAUUAUUAUUAUUAUUAUUAUUAUUAUUAUUAUUAUUAUUAUUAUUAUUAUUAUUAUUAUUAUUAUUAUUAUUAUUAUUAUUAUUAUUAUUAUUAUUAUUAUUAUUAUUAUUAUUAUUAUUAUUAUUAUUAUUAUUAUUAUUAUUAUUAUUAUUAUUAUUAUUAUUAUUAUUAUUAUUAUUAUUAUUAUUAUUAUUAUUAUUAUUAUUAUUAUUAUUAUUAUUAUUAUUAUUAUUAUUAUUAUUAUUAUUAUUAUUAUUAUUAUUAUUAUUAUUAUUAUUAUUAUUAUUAUUAUUAUUAUUAUUAUUAUUAUUAUUAUUAUUAUUAUUAUUAUUAUUAUUAUUAUUAUUAUUAUUAUUAUUAUUAUUAUUAUUAUUAUUAUUAUUAUUAUUAGGCUUAGAGGGUAGUUUUGUCAUUAGUUAAUCUAAUGCAUGCAUUAAAACCAUUGCAUUGCUAAUACCUAGAAAUCCAUGACAUUAGCAAUACACACCUUAAUACACAAUAGAGUGUAUAACUAAUGCAAGCAUUAGUUAUCCAUAGGUUGGAAAAGAGUACCAAACAAGGUACUAGUAAUACACAAUGCUAAUGCAUGCGUUAUUUUUCCUAAUACACUCUACCAAACGACCCCUCAGUAUCAAAUUCAUCUCGAUCAAAAUUCAAUCUAAUAUUUUUAAAAUGAAACAUAAAUUUAUUUGUAAAAUAAAGUUAUAACUACAUAUAGUAAUAAUAUAUAUGACCAUAACUUUAAAAUCAUAACACAUAAAUAUUAAAAAUUAAAUUCAUAAAAUUUUAAUUAUGAAGUUACCCCACAUGUAUCUUCAAUUCAAAUAAUAAUAAUUUGUUUUUUGAGAGUUUUAAGUGUGUAUAUAUAUAUAAGGAAGUUAUUUUUGCUGCUCAUAACGGAUCGGAAAGAUGGAGUAAUAAUGAAUAUGUCGAUCAAAUAAUGAUAGUUGAAAACUUUAAUUAAUAAUAAAGUACAUUUACUUCGUCUUUAAAUUAUUAGAAAAAAUGACCCGUGUCAGCACGGGCUCAACAUUAUAAAAAAUUAUAUGCAAAAUAUUAGGAUAAGGUAUGCAUAAUUUAUUUUUAUAAAUUCUAUAUACUAUUGAUAUUUUAAUUAAAUUUUUAAAUCUCAAUUAUCUAAAAAUAUAAUAUAGUAGGGGAAGAUGUUUUCAAUCACAAUAAAUUAUCUCCGAAGCGUAAGGAGUCUAUUGACUUUUUCAUUUUAUUUUAUAUGAUAUUUAAAAAAAAUAAAAUAUUAUUUAUAUUUACUCAUAGUUUGAUUUUAAAGAUCAUAUUUAUCAAUUAUUGAAUAUCUCGAAACCAAAAAACCUAUAAAACUAUCUUCUGAUCCACCUUUAUUUUACUCUAUAUUCUCUAUAUUUGGAGAGUAAAUCGAGAAUGUUCUCUCCAAUCAUUCUCUAUUUCACUCCUUAUUCUUCAUUUAUAGAGAGAAUUGAAAAAUUACUAUUUAUACUUUCUAUUAUUUCUACUAUAUAAUAUUUGUAAUUAACAUAUUAUAAAUCAUAUAAGAGUAAGACCAUUAAUUAAAUCUUUAAUAUUCGUGAUAUUUUUAAUAUAAUAUAACACUUUAAAAAUAUUAUUUAAUAUAAACAUUUUCAAUCUGAAUUAAUAAUAUUUCAUUUUAAAAAAAUCUAUUUAGGACCAAUUCCAAUCUCAUCAAUGGACAAUGGCUAAAGUGUUUUAUUUUUUAAAAAAAUAUGGAAAAAGUUGAGGGAACACAGACGGACCAUAAGUGUAGCGUAUAGUUCAAUGGGUCCCAUCAAAUUCAAUGAUAUUUCAGUGAAUGGCAUCAUCUGUAAUUUAACAGAAAAUGACUGGUCUUUUAUGAAGCUGUUGAUGUGGUCUAAGAAAACUGAUCUUUGAAAAUAUCAUUAUACCCUUAAACUUUCGUCUAAUGCCAAUAAUGUUGAAACUCUCUCUUCUAAUAUAUAGAAAAAAUAUACUAAUAAAUAUAUUCCCUUUCAUCUCAAAUUAUAUUUUAUUUUCCUUUUAAAUUUCUUUUAGGAAAAUAUUAUUUAGGAUGUUUUCUUACUAUUUUAUUUAAAUUUAUUCAUAUCUUAUGAUAUUAUUAGAUAUUUAUUUUAUUGAGUUAUUGUACUCUAUAAGAACAAUUUCUCUGCAUGUACGAACACCUCUUUAGCACACAAAUACAGCUUCUUCACGUACCUUUUAAAAAAAAUAAAAAAUAAUUAGGAGAUGUUUAAUUAGAUUUUUUAUUUAAAUAAAUAAAUGUAUAAAAAAUUAUGUGAGACUAAUUGAAAAGAAAUGCUAGGCGAGGGAGGAUCUACACAUAGUUGUUUAGUAGCUGAUUAAAGUUAUGCGAGUAUUAAUAAUAUAAAGAUUAGUUGUGAAUGAGUUCAUACGUUAUUUUAUGCAGAUAUUAGUUAUUACACUUUUUAUACUGCAUAAAAUAAUAAAUAAAUUUUCUCAUAUAAAGAUUAUUAUGUGGUUUUCUAAAUUAUCAACCAAACAUUAUAUUGAAUUUAUACAUAAAUAAUUUAUUUCUUAUCAUAAAUGGAUAAAUAUAAAAUUUGUAUAUACUAAUCAGAGGCGGAGCCAGAAUUAGAAAUUUGGGGGUUCUAAAUCUUAGGAGAAAAGAGAAAAAUAUUGCAAAGCACUGUGAAAAGAAUUUUCACCGUCAUUUCUUACCACUGAGCUGCCAAUCAAUUUUGUUAAGGAUUCACAGGUGUGUGUAUAUAUAUAUUAAAUUUUCUAAUAUAAACAUAUGAUCUACGGAAAAGUUAGUGGGUUCGUCCGAACCCACGAACCCCCACCUAGCUCCGCCUCUAAUACUAACCAUGUUUAAGCAAACAAAAUUAUAGUUAUAAAGCACAAUUAUCAAUACUAUAGGCUAGUUAUAGAGCCUUAUUACGUGUACUAAGUACUCUCUUUACUUCUUUCCUAUUUUAGACUUCUUUCCUAUUUCUAAAAUUUUCUUUUCCAAAUUUGGAAGCAGCAGGCCCCCUAUUUUCACCUUUUACAGCUUGCAUAGACCAGCUUUGUGAUCAGGACUGACAUGAAAGAAGGCAGACAGCAAAAAUAAAAGAAAUUAUGUAUUUCAGUUUAGAUAUUUACUUAACGAGAAACUAUAAAUAAAAAAAUAAUUUUAAUAUAUAUUUUUUAAAUAUAAUAUUUUAAAAAAUAUAACAUAGAAAUAAUUAUAAUUAAUGAUAAAGGUAAAUUAGGAACUAAGUAUAAAAUUAUUUAUUAAUUUCAUAAAGUAGAUAAAUAUUAUUUAACAUUUCAAAAUAAUAUAAUAUAUAAAUUCUUAAUUCUUUAUUAUGACCAAUCACCAUCUCGUCUUAAAUUUCAUAGCACAUAAACUCAAAAUUUUAAUUUUUCUAUGGAUAAGGCAAGGCCACCGCUGGCCAUCUUUAAUUGAUUUGGACUUUACAGUUGAAGAGUAAAGUUAUACAGCUGAAAACUUUAAUGAAAUAUAACUGGUACAUCCAACCAACCUACCAAAAUGGGCUCUUCUUUUUUCCCGAGAUAAAAUACCAAAAUGAGCUUUUCAUAGGUAUUACUUUAUUUGUCCCAAAAAUUUCACGUCCAUUAAAGAAGAUAGUACUAAAUAGAUGAAUAGUUAACCCAAUUUUCAACUAAACAACAAUAUAUUACUCUUUUCGUUUACUUUUAUUUGUUAUUUAUUUCUAAAAUAAAUUUUAUUUUUACUUGUUACUUUUAAUUUAUCAAGAAAAAAUAUAUUUAUUUUUUUAUAUUUUACCUUCAACAUUUAAUACUUAUUUUCUAAAUUAUUUUUUAAAAUCUAAUACUAAAGAUAAUUUAAUCAGGAUAAUUUAGUAAAAUAAUUAUUUUCUUAAUAAAUGUACUAAGUCAAACGAAGACAAAUAAAACGAACGAAGGAAGUAUUUUUAAUCAAUUUCUUUUUUCUUGUCAAAUUUUAAACACAAUCUAAAAGUAAUAAUUAACUAUUCCACCGCAAAACUACUUUAAGUCCCCAUUUUUAUCAAGCCCAGAAACUAAAAUUCACAAAAAAGAUGCUUUUAAAUAGAGAAGAAUAUCUAUUUCCCCAACUCUAUUUUUCGUUAAAGAAUGAUAAGAGAAAAUGGAACCAACAUGGGUUAUAUGGUACAGUGUGGGACUGUUUUUAUACUUGAUUAGAUGUCUCGGGUUCGAGCCUUAGAUAUGAAAAAAAACUUGUUAGCUGCCAUCCUAAAUGGACCUGUAGUGCGUGAUAUGAAUUUAAUAGAGACUUUCAAUAUGAACUUCGAACACCGAGUAGGACAAAAAUUAAAUAAGAGAAAAUGGAAGAAUAAUUUCUACGCCCAAAAGAAGUAUAUAAAGUUUUCAUUUUGCAACCAACUCGGAAACUAAAAUCCACAAACAAAUGCUCAUAAAUGUAAAAGGGAAAUUUUUACAAAAAAAAAAGAAGGGAAAUUGGAAGAUGAAAUUUCAGACUCGGUCAUUUUGGUUCGAAAUUAUUUUUUCUCAAUUUGUGAGGAGUUCAAAAAGAAAGUUAAACUCAGUUUUUGAUUAAAUUUGAAAAUUUGUUGUGAUUUAGGUGAUUAUUGUUGCGAAAAAUAAUAAUUAAUGGAUGAUUAACUAAGCAUAAAUUAGUAGCUACAAAUUGAUUUGAAGUUCGUAAAAAGACAUUUAAAAGAUCACUAUUAAAGGACUUUUCGCAAAAAACUUAAGUAUACAACUUAAUAACUUUAAUUACUACAAUAUAACAAUACUUCUUUUUCCACUUGUAUAGCAAUAUUUCUUUUUCAAAACUAGAAUUUAUAUUUUAAAAAAACGUAUACAAAGUCAGCCUCGCUUAUCACGUAUUCCUUAAUUUUUUUCAAUUAUUUUACCUUCCCUAAUUUACUUAGAUUUGUUAUAUAUUCUCUCCCACGACGAGAGGUUUCUGACAAAAAUAAAACUUCAUGUCUACUCUGAUCGACUAUUCAAAAAUGGUUAUCAAUAAUUUUUCAAUUCUAAUUCAACACAACGGGCGAUGGGACUCAUCAGGUAUUUGAUAAAAAAACAAUUGAUAUAAUUUUUUUUACGUGGUUGAUAUAUUUAAUUUUUCUCACCAUCUGAGUUUUAAUCUUAUUGGUAAUUAUUCGUUGGUUUAUAUUGUCGAUUUUGGUGUAAUAUAAAAUUCAUAUGAUUUGGUUGAUAGUCUGGUGCAUCGAUUGGCUGGAUUUAAUUGUUGAAUAAAGAUUAAAAUUUAGUAAUUGUUUAUGGUAUAUUACUAGUUUUAUAUAUAUAUAUAUAUAAAUAUAUAUUAUUAGGUUUAAUUGAUUAAUGUACCAACGUAAUCAUAAAUCAACAAUUAUGUGGUUUGAUUGGUAUGUUGCAUGCCUUAUGUUAACAACAUAUAUCAAUAGUUUUUUUGGUGUGUGAUAUGUUGUUAUUGUUAAAAUUUUAGACCUUAUAAAAAGAUCAGCGUCAAGUUAAAAUUUCAGUACAUGUAUUUAUGUAUUUAGUUGUAUUAGUUGGUAUAUAUAACGUAUAUUAUACCAUAAUGCUCAAAUUAUUUAUGGUAUGUGAUUUGAUGUAAUCAUGUAAUUGGUAUAUUAUGUUCGAUUGUAUAUACAACAACUUUAAGUUAAUAUUUUGGUACAUGUAUUGAUGUAUUUAAUUAUCUGAGUUGGUAUAAAUAAUAUAUUGAAAAAUAAUUUAUAUGUUAGUUAUUGUUCAUAUAUAAAAUCCUAAUUUGAAUUUUUUUUUGGUAUGUUAUCUGGUACAUAUGAUGGUGUAUUUGUUUGUCUGGAUUGGUGUCAAAUUAAUACUCUACUACAUGUGUUGAUGUAUUUGUUUGUCUAAAUUGGUGUGAUAACGAAGUGUAUACCUUAAUUUUCAAAAUACUUAUGGUAUGUGAAUUGGUGUAAUUAGUAUAUUUAGACCAUGUAUAAACGCCAACUUCAACUUAAUAUUUUGGAAUAUCUAUCGGUGUCUAAAUUAGAUAAUUAGUAUUGAGUUGCGUAUUUUGUGAUGGUAAUUUAUUAUGUAUAAUUAUUAGUUGAAAAUAAAUAAAUUAUUUGGUGUAACUGAUUGUGUGAAUUAAGUUUUUAUACACCACUAUAAUACAUCGCAAGGAUAUUAUGUAGUUUGGUUUGGGUUGUUUAAUUACAACAAAUUUGCCAAUUUGUUAUUGAUAAGGUUUUUGGUGAAACGUUGGUCAAACUACUAAAUUAGAUCAUCAAUUGUUUUGUAUACCAUCGAUUACCAAUCUAACUACCAAAUUGUGUAAUUUAAUUAAUUUAUGAAAUUCAUUCUACUACAUUUGGAAAUUGAUUAAGAAUUUGUAAUUUUAUACAGGUAAUUAUGUGGAUUAUGAUAUUGAAGGAGUGAUGUAUGAUGCAAACACCAAAUAUGAAGGCUUGAUUACUACUAUAUCUUUCCAAUUGGGUGUGGACAAAAUCAUUUAUCAUUUAGAACUCAAAUAUGUCGUGAGUGGAUCCAUCUCCGCCAAUGAAGAUUCACAACGAUAUGGGUGUCCAAGUUUAUUUAGAUCAAAAGAGAUGCAAUUCCGACUUCUUUUCAAAAUAUUCCUUAUGUGUAACAUGUGUGGAUAGAGCUAUGGAGUCCAUUGGUAUUUUAGAUGAUACAAUGUUGAUGUAAUUUUGAUAUUUUAGGUGACUAAAUAUUGGUAUAACUUGGUGUUUUAGAUGAUACAAUAUUGAUAUAUUAUAUGGUACAUAUAUUUCUUUUAGGGAAAAUUGUAUGAAAUAACAAACUAUUAAUUCAAAUUAAAUUUUAGGGAAAAAGGUCUGAAAUAUAUCUGAACUUUGACCGAAAUUGCUGUAACGAUACCAAACUUUGGAAAGGACCUUUUACCCCCUGCACUAUUUAAUAGUGUAUUUUAAAUGUAUAUAUGUGUCCACGUGGACAUCAUAAAUAUUACAUAAUUAUAAAUAGUAACGUGUCCAUGUAGGCACAUAUAUACCUUUAAAAUACACUAUUAAAUAGUGCAGGGGGGUAAAAGGUCCUCCAUAAAGUUUGAUAUCGUUACAACAAUUUCGGCCAAAGUUGGAGUAUUUUUCAGACCAUUUUCCCUAAAUUCUAUAUCCAUAGUGUAUUUUAUUUGUAAUUUGCAGCAAACAUCCCAUUUUUUGUCAUCCGGUUCGGUAAACAAUUAGCCAUUUUUGAUAUACAAUUACCCAUUCGGUAUACAAAUGUAUAAAAUGCAUUUGUGUUUGUAUAAAGCGAGAGAAAAGUGUAUAUACAAAUACAAAUACAUAUAUUUUCUUCCUAUACACUUAUAAUUAUACAGAUAUAGAUCUUAUUAAACAAAUUACAAUGUAUAAAUUCAUGAGUUUAUACAAAACUGAACAAUUUGUAUAAAAUUGGAUGUAUCUAGCGAAUUAUACAAAAUCAAAAGCUCCAUAGCAAACAUAAAAUUUGUUGUAGAGCGCAAUUAUGCAAACUAUAGCUAUAAUAUACAAAUAUGAUUUUUAUGUUUGUUAUAUGUGAAAGUUGCUCUUUCUUUUACACAAAUUUGAUAUAGUAUAUGGUAUAUAUUGAGGUGUGACUCAACACCAAUGUUCUAUGGAAAUCUAUAUAAUAUUCAAGUUUUUAAUUACUUUAUAAACUUUCUAGAUUUAAAUGGUUAUUUAAGUCAUGCCAUAAAAAAUUAAAAUAUUUUGUCAAAAAAAUAACGUACAUAAAUUUCAGAAUUUCUUUUUUGUCACAAUAAAAGAAAAAGAUAUUUGUAUGAAAACAAUGUUAAAGAGGUGAGAGAACACUACAAUCAAUAAAGAGUAUAAUUAUGGUAAAAAAGUAAAUAAUAAUUAUCAAUUCCAUAAAUUUAGCUUAACCCCCAAAAAUAGGAAAUAAUCGGAUACUAAAAUAUACAAAAAUAAAAUAAAAUGAAAAUUCAAUAUAUGGGCAAAAAAAUAAAUAUAAAAUAGUAUAACUAUGGUUGAAAAGCCAAAAAGUAAACAAUAAUUAUCAAUUUCAUAAAUUUAGCACAUUAUCCCCAAAAAUAGGAAAUAAACUCGUAUAUUAAAAUAUAUAAAGAAAAAAAAAACAAAAAUUCAAGACAUGGGCAAAAAAACAAUAUAAAAGAGUAAAAUUAUGAUUGGUAAACCAAAAAGUAAACAAUAAUUAUCAAUCCCAUGAAUUUAGCACAUAACCCCCCCAAAAGGAAAUAAAUAGAAUAUUAAAAUAUUUUUUUAAUAAAAUCAAAAAUUAAAUAUUCUGUCAUGUUUGUAAUUUUAAACUUAGUUUUGUAAAUAAAAAGGAGUACAUACAUAUACUGUUAAUUAAGAAUUUAAGAUCUUAAAUAGUAUAUUCUUGUAAUUGGCAUUUGAGAAAAGCUCAAUGAAAUUAUGAAAUGAUGAUUUUGUGAUAUCAAACCAGGAGAAAGAAUAAUGAUAAUUAUGUAAUAUAUGUCUUUUCAUCUAACCCUUACAUGCCUAUAAAGGUGUAUUCACCCUCUUGGACAGGUGAGCGUCUAAAUGUUAGCAGGACUCCAAUGAAUUAUAGACGUAUUACGUAUAAUUGAGGAUUGACUAAUAGAUUAAUAGAUUAGGAGGGCAUCACAAAUAUGAAAUAUAUGAAGGCAUUUGGUAAACUUGACAUUUCUCUGGACUAAAAUCUGAGCUUUACUUAGUAAAUUUCAGAUUACUCUCCCCUGGUGUUUGGGUUAUACAUUUUUUUUUCCAGUUAAUUUGAAGCUAAUUACAGUUGAAAACAUUUGUAAAUAUAACCUGAUCAUUUUUGCUUUGUUCUUGGCUGCACAUAAUGCCCCAAGCUUCACAAUCACCAUGUAUAAUAUAGUUUCAGAUGCCAAAGUUGAUUCCUUUACUGUUCCUCAAACUACCAAACAAGCAUAUGAAAGCGAUCAAAUACCUAAUUGUACGAAACUAAUAUGAUCGGAGCCACGCCUUAAUCGUUUAAAAAAUUAGGUAUUCGAUCGCUUUCAUCAGUAGAAAUCAUUCUUCAAUUCAGCCAUGGAGAUGUCUGAUUCUAUUGUCAACUAUGCAAAGCCAGUUCACAUAUUAUUUCUCCCAAGUGGACUGGGAGUGGGACAAAUGGUUCUAUUUUUUCGAUUAGCUUCCAUGUUAGCUUCACACAGAUGUAGAAUCACUUUCAUCACUAUGCCACUUGAAAUAACUACCACAAAGUCCAUCUUGAUCAACAACUUUUUCGCCAUUCACCCAGAAAUCAAUCGAAUAGAUUUUCAAAUUCUUCCUUUGAAUACCUCUACUUGUUCAAUUAGUGAUCCAUUCAUCAUGCAAAUUGAUGCUAUUAGUAACUCACUUCACCAGCUCGGCCCUCUGGUGUCUUCUUUGGAUGAACCAGUUUCUGCUAUUGUCUCAGACUUUUAUUCUUCCAUCUAGUCUUUCACAGAUAGCUAAUAAUCUCAAUAUUCCUCUUUACAAUAUCUCCACAACAUCAGCUAAAUUUUACUCUACUGUAGCGUACCUUCCUGUACUGUUAUCCGAAGAUCCUAAUGCAUUUAAGUACUGUUCGGGCAAUCUUGAGAUUCCAGGUAUAGGAUCAGUUACAAAAUCAAGCAUCCCCCGUUCAUGGCUGGACGAUUCACCAUCAAACUAUGUAUUGCAAGACUACUUGCUGCCAAAUGCUCGAGCUCUUCCUCAAGUGACUGGUGUCUUUCUGAACACCUUUGACUGGUUUGAACCAGAAACAAUUGCUUCCCUCGAUGAUGGAAGAGUAACCAGUUCACUUCCACUUGUUUUUCCUGUUGGUCCUGUGGGAAAUUACAACCUAGGAGAAGACAAUCAGUGUUCAUGGUUAGAUGAACAACCUGCUGAAUCAGUUGUAUAUGUUAACUUUGGUACUAGAGAGCCGAUUUCUGCACAACAACUAAGAGAAAUAGGAGAAGGACUAGAGAUAUGCGGAUAUAAGUUUCUAUGGGUGCUAAAAGAAGAGCUUCUAGAGUUGUUUGGGAAUACAGUCCUGGUAGAGAUGGAAAAGAAAGGGAAAAUAAUGAAACCAGGGGAUUAUGAGGCAGCUAUUAUGGACCAUCCAGCCAUUGGACUUUUCGUGAACCAGUGCGAAUGGGAUUCAGUGAUGAAUGCAGCUUGGUCAGGAGUGCCAAUGAUGGCGUGGCCACAGCAUGGUGAUCAAAAGUUGAAUGCAGAAGUUGUAGAGAAGGCAGGAUUGGGGAGGUAGGUAGAAGAAUGGGGUUGGGGUGAGGAAAAUCUAGUGAAAGGUGGGGAGAUUGCAGAGAUGGUGAAAAACUUAAUGGGAGAUGUUAAUAUGAAGGUAAAUGCAAUGAAAGUGAGGAAACAAGCUAGAAAGGCCAAGGAAAUCGGAGGGAGCUCAGAGAAGAGGCUGAGGAAAUUCAUUGAAACAUUAACAGCAGAACAAAAAUGAUGUAUCUAUGCCAUUCCUAUUGAUCCUUUGCUUGUAAAAAUAAUUGCAACUGCAAUUCGUAUGCUGUUAAAGUCAAAAGAUUGCAGGCCAACAACACACGAAUAAGUUAAAGCACAAUAAGAAUCAAAUGCAGUCAAUUAUAGCAAGUUUACAGGUGUAAAGUGGAAGCUCCUGACAUCGGAGAUCCACAGGAGUUAACAGACCUAACAAAUUGAUAAACAAAGUAGAGCUUAUCCAGUAGUCUAAAUACGGAAAGACAAAUGUCGAGGAAGCACCUUAAGGUAUUAAGCAAGCAUAUAAACAUUCAGAAAAACGUCUAGAAGAAAAACACAUAAUGAAAGCAUAAGUAACUAGUAUCAUUCUCCCUUUAUUAGAAGUUCAACUUUUCCCAUGUGAAUAGAAGGGAACACUACCAUUUAGUUAGAUUGUCUUCUUUGAAAUAACAUCAAAAGAUAUUCCAUUGUGUUGAAGCCUGUUUUGGAGGUCGGUUGGGCCAAACACAACCCCAGGUGGGAAAACACCUCCUUUUGGAAGAUUGUUUCGUUCCUUGAGCAAAAUGAGAGCACACUGGACAAGAAUGAUUGGAGUUGUUAAAUAACCAACCUCAGGUCCCAUUACUCUUGUAAUUAUCUCUGUAUCAGGCUUCCUGUUUCCUUGUGAUGCAAGACUGCCAUCGCUAAACCCGUGUCCGACAAACCACAUCUUAAAGGUAGCACUUGCCACUUCAUCUUCAGUUGGACCUUUUUUCCUGAACCAUCCAAGACUGAACAAUGAAGGGAAUUUCAAUAGCAGCCACCUCCCUAAACUAGUUUUACCAAAGAGACCAAUGAACAGCCCGACUAUAAUGAAACGAACAACUCCUAACAGAGAUUUUGAAGCUAUCUUCACACCAAAGUGAGCUGGCUUUAUGCUUGACCAAAAUGCCUCCCUCCUCUCAACUUGUUCAGCGCUUUCAUUAACACCAGGUAAACCAUGAGGAUUUUCAGCGAAACAUGAAAGUGUUCUUCGGACUACAAUUGCAUCUGCUGAUGGUAACUUUACAGCCCAAACACCAACUUCCUUUAGAUGGUUCAUCAAUGGACCCUUAGGAGGAGGACCAGGAAUCUAAAACAAACAGGAAAAUAUUAGAGAGUGAUAAUAUGCUUCACUGAUCUAAUGUGUUAUUUUACAGAGGAAACACUGAAAGUUACUGUACCAAAGCAGCAUGGUACACAGUAUGCAAUGAGUAAUCCAGCAAAUGUUGCAGGUAUCAAAUAAGCCCAUCUCUAACAAUGAAUCUCUAUUAAAAGUAUGCAUGUAAUAAAAAUGUUGAUCCCUGUCAUACACGGAUUCGAGCUAUCCAUCAUAAGGUUAUGAAUUUCUACCAUAUACUCAUCAGCAUCAUCACAUAUUGACUAUGACACACAUUUUAGGGAAAGAGUUAAUUGGUUCUCAAAGUUCCACAUGUAAAAUACAUUUUUAUAAUGAUGCGAACAUUCAGCAAAAUGAGGAAAACAACCUUAACAUGAUGGACUUUGAUUGCAGUUUACAUCUUCAAACACAUACUGAUUAAUUGAUUUCUAAGUUGUAACGAUUAAUUGCUUCUUAACCUACAGUGUUCUUCCAGUGAAACAAGAGAAUAAAAAAAAAUCCAUUACUCUUUCUCAAUACUGAUGCAAUCUUUACAAAGACAAAAUCACUUCUCAUUUAGCAUCAUUCCCUGCCACAUAAUUAACACACCACAGGACCAGAUGUUGGCCGUAUGGAUUCAUGAAACUGAGUGUACAUAUUUAUAUGUGAAUGCCUUCAUAGAGGACGAAAAGGGUAAAUCAUAAAUCUGGAGGUUCUCACAGCAGUAAACACAUUUUAAUACCACUCACAAAUUGGUUCAGCUUAUAUUUAUCUAUAUCCCAUGACACAAGACUUAAGUUUCAACCAAUUAAAAUCAGAGGGGAUAUAUUGCUCGCGAAGCACACUCCCAGUUUAUCAACUUCAAUUUCUUCUGAUAUGGCUAUGUAGUAGACCAUUUGAAUUUAUGUAAAAUUUUCUCCACAGAGAAUGCUAAAGUUGCCGGAUACCCUGAACUAGAGAAGCCAGAUACAAAUUAAUAAGUAACACAUAAAUAUUGAGUUAUAUUUUUUUUCCAAUGAGUUGUGUAAGGCUUUAUUCUGUUGAUAACCAUGGUAUAUGGGUUCGCUUGUGUUUCUCGUAAUACCUGCUAAAGUUCACAUAACCUCAUCAUUGGUUGGCAUCUUUGAAAAAUUUAAAUUCUAUACCAAACUUUUAUCUUUUACAAAAACACCCUCUCUAAUAGUUGUUUGCGUUGUAUUGCAUAAUUUUUUACGUAAACACUAAAGUAGUGAUAGAAUAUUCAGUGAAUAUGAAAGUGAUGAUACGAUUAUUGAUGAAAAUGAUGAACAAUCGGCUUAGGGUAAUAAAGUCAAGUGCUUUGUCUACUUCACGAUGUAUGGAAUGAUGCUUGUUGCACUCACUCCGAACUACCAUAUUGUUCUAGUCAUGGACACUACUUGUUAUUUGUUGCAAAGAAGAUUCAAUGGACUUGUAAUACAAACUUAUGGUUAGUUUUUAAAUUUUUUAGGUAUAAAUCAUAUUUCCUGAAAAAGAGAAAUAUGUUUCUCAAAUACUACAGCCAAACAGGUGAUGAAAUUUCACUCAAAUAAUAUUUGCAAAAAAUAUUUAGAAAUCUAUGGCGAAACGCUUGUAGAAUAACAAGCCUUCCGUUGGGAGUUCCUUAUGACUAAAUAAAGUAAGAUGUUACCAUGACUGCAAUUUAAGGUGUAACUGGAUAACCAGAACUAAAAACCUCUUCACAUUGGAUGGUUGGGUAAUGGAAUUGAGACCAAGAUCAUCAGUAUCAACAUGAAAUGAAGCCUUACCACAGGACGAGGCCUCUUUGGUCUGCUCCGCUGCAGCUCCUGUAAUUUGUCCAUAUUAGCCGCACCAAGCACCGCUGACUCAUACGUCCCCAAAUUUUUAACAAUUCUCUUGUCCGAUUCUAGACUAAGGUAGGCCUCAACACUGUUAGGAACAGCCGGCGGCAGCCACUGUCUCGAAUUGAACAUCAAUCCCAAUUCAGCAGGAAUAGAGUCAAACCCACAUGCCGAAACAACUAAGGAUCCAUUUUCCACAGCCUUAUCAUGGUACUUCAUCUCUAUCCUCUCCAUAAACUCAGGCUCCCCAGAAAUAUCCAAGUAAUCGCAUCCAGAAUCAGCACAGGCCUCAACAACAGGCUCACCGUAAAGAUAAAACGGUCCGACACAGUUAAGAAUGAUCUUAGUCUGUGAAGCAAGGUCACGGAGAGAAGAUGGGUCAGUGGUAUCGGCAGUAAGAAUGGGGAUUUCGGGUGGUGGGUUUGGACGGGAAGCCCAUUGAAGAGCCUGGGAAAGCUUUGAAGUGUUACGGCCAGCAAUGGCUAAAUUCUUCAAGGGGGAAGAGGGAACGUCCAGGAAUUUGAGAGCUUCUCUAAUGACGUACUUCCCAGUAAAACCUGAAGCACCUAAGAUUAUCACGUCGUAAGUUGGAUUCGGAUUAAGGAUCUGAGACAUUUUUUUUUUAUCGGAAAUCAAAAAAUAGUUUGAUUGGUUUUCCGAUUAUCUCCGGGAGCUGAUCAGAGAGUGGACUUUGGAGACGAAGAGAAGAGGGAAACUAGAAAUCCCCGUGAUUCGGUCUCCCCUAUCAAAGGCAUAGCAUUCUAUGGACUCUUUAACACGUCCAGAAAUGGUAUGCCAACGAACACCCUUUCUCCUCUUUCCCAUGUCCAGAAAUGGUAUGCCAACAAACACCCUUUCUCCUCUUUCCCACGUCCAGAAAUGGUAUGCCAUCAAACACUCUCUCCUUAGCCAAACAAAGUCUUCACAAGCCCCAACAGGCGGUUUUGACGAUAAUAUUACUUCAUCCCUGCAAAAUAAAAGUGGUCUAGUUUGACUUGAUAGAAAGUUUAAGAAAUAAAAAUAAAGUGUUACAAAAAAUAAAGAAAAAUUGCAUAAUAUUGGUAUAAUGAAAGUUCUGGAAUGUAUAGAUGGGAAACACUGGAAGCUAAUUCAAAAAGAGAUCAUGGCAGCGAUAUGUGGAGCUAUCAUUUAUCAUACUUGGCGUGCCAGAAAUUGGAGGCGAUACAAAGGCAAAUGUGUACAGACGGAUGAGGCAAUUGCACAGAUAAAGAAGGAAAUCAGAGAAAGGUUACAGUUACUUAGUAGUUCCAAGAAAGCAAUAAAAUGUAGGAAUUUUAUUCAGCAUUUAAUGUGUUUUUAGUUUUCUUAUGAUUUGGUAGGAGGCCUGCUCUUUGUUAUCAGAGAAAGGUGCUCAUCAUUUGUAUUCGUACUUUUUGUUGGUUAUGGUAAUAUAUUUUAAGUUGUAAAAAAAAAAAAAAAAAAAAAAAAAAAAAAAUCAUUUUUUUUAAAUAGACUAAAAACAAAAGGAGGUUGAUUUUUUAAACGAAGGGAGUAAUAUUUAUAAUGAAGUAUUUAUGCAAAUAGGGUUCUAUGGUGUAGUGGUUAGCACUCUGGACUUUGAAUCCAGCGACCUGGGUUCGACUCCCGGUAGGACCUCUUUUUUAUAUUCUGAUUUUUCAUCCUGUGUUCGAAUUUGUGUGCGGGGAGAUUCACAUGGAAGACAAAUCACUCUCUAACAAAAAAUAUUGAACUUUAAAUAAAAAUAUUUAACACAAAAGAAAACAGUUCUAAUCAAUUAGCCAUGUGUGUUGCUUAUAAUAGUCUCAAAGAAAUAUCUGAUUAAAUUAUUUAGGAAGUGACAAAUGAGGAGGUUUAAGAAAUUAGUAAUAUAAAUAGGUACAAUUUGAGUCAUUUUCAAAACGGAAAAGGACUAAAUAUAAGUACAAAUUGUUUUAAAAUAUAUGAAAAAGGGCCAAAAUUAUCCUUAAACUAUAGGAAAAAAGUCUAAAAAUACCCUUCAACCAUCCUUUGGUAUAAAAAUACCCUUCCAUUGUUGUUUUAUUUUUUAAAAGAAAUUAUUAUUUGUCAUUUUCUUAUUAGAUAAAAUAAAAAUCUCAUCUCUAUUAAAUUUUUUCCCAUAAUCUAUUCAAAAAAAAUAAAAUAUACCUCUUCAAGACCCCAUUUUUUUAAUAAAAAAAUCUAGUAAUUUUUGUAUUUGCUCUAAAAAAAAAUUUAAAAAAAUUUGUUUUAAAUAAUUAAUAUAUUAUAAGAAUAUUAAUAGUGCCACAAUAUCUAUCUACCUUUCUAAAAUAAAUAAAAAAAUUGUUAACUUAAUUUUUUUGCUAAUUUGUGAUAAAUACUUUUCAAAGAAAAAGUUCCACAAACAAUUUUACUUAUAAAUUAACUCAUUUAAAAAAAAAAGAUGGACGGUCGUAGCCGUAGGGAAAAUUUAAGUAGGAAAAUAGAGAAAAAUGUGUGUAAUGUAUUUAUGGAUAAGAUAAUAUAUUGUUAUGAUUAUGACAUAAUAAAUUUGUUUAUAAAAUAUUAAUCAUCUAUAUCAUGUUUAGAAUCUUGAUUUAAUUAAUUAAAUAUUAGCCGUUAAUUUUUUCUUAUGUCAUGAGUCUUCAAUAGGUAAAAAAUUGAGAAAAUGGAGAGGAGUUGGAUCCAAAAAUAAAUAAAUAAUAAAAAACUACAAUAUUCUUUUUAUAUUAAAAAAAUUGGGGUUUUGAAGAGGUAUAUUUGCUUUGGUUUGGAUAAAUAAUGAGAAAUAAUCUAAUGGGAUAAUUUCAGAGACCUCCCUCUAGGUUUCGCUCUAUAACACUCACCUCCUUUGUGGUUUACGAUAUUACGUCUACCUCCCUUAAUGUAUUUGUGCUGAUUUACUUUUUAAAGUAUUUGUUAAAUGAGUUUUUUUUUAUAUAAUAUUUAUUAAUAUAAAAAAUAAAUAUAUAGAAGGGUAAAAAUGUCAAAUCUAAAUUAAUUUAUAUUUAUUUUAAACAGAUUUAAAGAAUGGUUACAAGAAAAUGAAAAUAAGAGAGGUAGACGUAAUAUCGUAAACCACAGGGGAGAUGAGUGUUAUAGAGCGAAACCUGAAGGGAGGUCUCUAAAAUUAUCCCUAAUCUAAUUGAGGUGGGCUAUUUAUAUUAUCCAAUAGGAGAAUGACACAUAAUAAAUAUUUUUAAAAAAUAAAGAAUAAAGAGAAAAUUGUUAGUUUCAAGGGUAUAAGUGAGCCAAAAAGAUGAAUGAACGGGUAUUUUUAGACCAAAAAAUGGAUGAAGGGUAUUUUUAAAUCUUUUCAUAUAGUUUAUGAGUAUUUUUGGCACUUUACCGUAAAAUAUAUUUUGAGACUUAAUCCAAAUACUAUCUCAUGUUAUACUUUCAAUUCAAAUAUAUCUAUUCCGUUAUACUUUUCACAAAAAAUUACUCCUAAUUCUGAUGGAUGAAUACACCAGCUAUUUCAUUUCCAAUUAGAUUGAUUUCUAUUAAGGUAGAAAAAUAAUGUAGCAUUAUUAAUAAACUCUUACAAUAGUGUAUUGAAGCAGUGAAUGUGACAUUUAAGUUUUACACAGAAAUGUACAAAAUAAGCUCUAAUGGUCAUGAGAUCCCUUAAGAGAAGCUGCAAUAACCCUUGGUGCUCUUAUACCCCGACGUUCCACCCCUCUCCCUCAGAAUUUUUUUUUUAUCACGAGAAAUCCCCGAGGGCCAGAUGGCACACGGUUUAGAACUUGAUGAUAAUAGACCCGCCCCUCUAUCAAGUGUUUUUUUGUCUGCAGCAAGGUUCAAACUCAUGAUGUGAGUCUAACCUACACAUCAACAUUGCUUCAGAGGAAGAGUAAGAUUAUGGUUUAGAUAUCUCUGCCUUGGCAAGCGCCUCGUUCUCUUUCCCCACCCGGUUAGACUUUUUUCCUCGAGCCCCAGCUCACUAGAACAAGGCUGGUUUACCGGAGGUGUGCAAUCAGCAGGAAUUGUUGGGGAAGGAUCAGCAUUUGCUAAACGACGCCUUCCCCUGCCACUCUUACCGGUUUUCCUAUGUGAUAAGCUAGACUGCCAAGAGGAUCCACUAGCUUUAAACAGCUCUUCAAAUGCCAGAAUAUCCUUGUUCACCUCAUACCUUGACAGGGAAAUAAGACCAGGAAGAACGUCCCUCUGGAAAUCUCUCCGUUGCCUGCCCCUUCUUGCUUGCCCUCUUCGAGGCCGUUUUGGUAAGGUAGUGGCCCCCGUUUCUUCGUCAUUAUGGCUCACCAUUGUCAGCAUUUUAUAGGAAUACUCUUCUUCCUUCAAAUCUUCCAGCUUGAGUGUCAUAAACUCAAAGUAAUCAAAGCCAUCGGGAAUGGAUUCCUCAUCAAAACCCGGACACUGUACCUGAGCUGAUCUUUCUAGUAAUGUAUUCUUGGCCACUAGAGUGGGAGGAGACCAAGUCAGCAAACCAUUUGAGGCAGUCACUAGGUUCAGUUUGCAACACAUCAUUUGUAUCUCCAUUUACAGAACUAGACGCUGAGAUGGAAAUUAUAGACUCUGCAGCAACCCUCAUGGCUUCUUCACUCGACUUGUUAGAUUCUUCUAAUGUAAGUUUAGAAUUCCCACAUUCUUCUUCAGAUUCAAGAACUGCUGGAGCCUCUAAGUCUAUCUCAGUGGUUGCAAUCCUCACCACAGCCUGAGGAAGAGGAGGUGCGGAUGGUGCCUCUUCUUCAUCUAAAGACAAGUUCAAAUCAAUCUGAUACCUUAAACCAGAAGUGCAACCAUUUAGUCCUUUUUCUUGAACAAAAUCAUUAGCUUCCACCUUCUUUGUACAAACAGUCUCAUCCCGUGAAAUGAUUGUGGCAGUAACACCGUCAAUAUCAGGAAAAGUGGCCUUUGAGAGAGAACGGGCUGCAUGCGAGUCCUUGGAGGCACUUAAAAUUGGAGCACCAAAAAUUGUCCUUAUUUUAGUGCUGUCACUAACUUCAACUUUCUGGCAUUCAGAACCUUUGGAGGAUAUCGAUGACAAGGUUCCCCGUCUCUGAUCUAUAAAUUGAGAGGAGUUGACUGCUGUGUCUUCUCUUCUAAAAAACUGCUGGGAGUAAUUCUGCAAGGAGUCCAGAUUUAAGUGAUAACAACUUUCCUUCCCUUUGGUCUGCUCUACACAUUCCUGUGAUUUCCCGACUAACCAAGGCAAUGUUUCCCGGGGGUUUUCCUGUUUCCUCUGAGAAUCUCCAGAUACAUGUGUUUUUCCAGCAGCUUCAGUUUGAGAUACACCAGAAGUAUCUCUGGCAUUCUUUAACCCAGCAGAUUUAUAAUCCAUGUCAUUCACACAAUUGAAAGUAUUUGUCCAAUCUUUAGCACUUGGCUGAGAUCUUUUACAAAGAACAUUUUGGUCUGGAAGUACAUUCUUUGAACUUGAAUCUGAUCUGACAUCACUUCCCAUAUGCAUAUUGCCUUGAUAGGCCGCAAGGUUUCGCAGAAGUUCAGUAUAACUCUGAGAAAGUGGUUGAGAUUUAUGAGUAGGCAUUUGCACAUUGGAAAAGCUAGCAGAUUGUACUUGAUUUUCUUCAUGAAUUUCAACGCCAAAAAUUGUCCUUUUCUUUGGGUGCUCAUUCUUGGUUUCCUUAAUGAGAGAGUGCUUGAAAAGUUCAUGACCUUGUGAUGACUGACAGGCUUUAGGUAACUUUUCAGCAGUUUCAAGUCUUCCAGAAGAUCUGUUAUCUGGUUGCUUUUGCUCUGUAACAGAAGAUGAGAUCAAAACGAAAGUUAGUAGCAAAAUAAUAAUAUAAAAUACGGCACGCAAGGCAUGUGUGAUUGUUGCAUCAUGACCUCUACUUUAUAAAAGAGGAAAAUAUGAAAAUUGGAAAGAAUAAAUGAGGUAGGUCCAAACAUCAGUAGAGACUAUUGCGCAAAAUUAAGAGUUUUUCAAUAAUAGAGACCUGUUUACUAGAAUCAUGACCUCUACUUCAUAAAAGACGAAAAUAUGAAAAUUGGAAAGAAGAAAUAAGGUAGGUCCAAACAUCAGUAGAGACUAUUGCGCAAAAUUAAGAGUUUUUCAAUAAUAGAGACCUGUUUACUAGAAUAAUAUGCAUUAACCUCAACAACUGUCUACGCAUUGAAAGAAAACGGGGAUGCAGUAUAUCAAAUGAAGAGGUGUUACACAACAAGAGAUCUUUCUGUGACUAUUACGGUGGUCCUUUCCGCUCCUACUUUUGGUAGUCCAUCUAAACAUUCAUACUGCAACUCAUUUAACAAAUAUCUCAGCAAGAAAAAGUCACAACUAGAACUAAAGUUGUGCACCAUACAGGUUGCUGACAUAUAUUUAGUCUUCCCUUAAUAUCCCUAUAUAGAAAGGACACACCAUAUGGGAAUCCUCUCUAAGUCAAGAAAGUCGAUUUGGAAGUGGCAUCGGAUACUAGCUAAAAAUUCUUCCUUAUCGGCUUAUCCUCCUUUCUAAUGAAACAUAUGAAAAGUAACUGCCUACUGAUACAGUUGAAAAGUAACAAGACAGGUUUACAUCAUGAAAACAUUCUUACCAGCAUUAAAUUUAAAAGUUAACUGCUCUUCUUCAUUCCUGCAAGGCGGGUGGUUGAGGCAAAUUCCACCAAUCCUUUCCUUGAGUGACUUAGGAGAGAACUUCGCCCCAUCAGAGCUGCCAUCCUCGAGGCAAGUAAUGCUGGUUAUAUUGAUAUCCGGAACCAAAGGAGGAUCUUCUUCAAGUGGUAAAGGUUUAUUCAAGUCAGCCAGUUCAUCAGUCCUUUUUGAGGAAUUGGUUCUGUCAAGAUCAGCAUCAGAAUGAAAUUCUAAAGCUCUAGGUGUCUUCACAUCUCUUCUUCGGGGGAUUGGAUAAAUUCCCUCAGCAGGGUUCCCUUGAAUGCCAGCUAAUCCCAAUUGUUUCAUAGUAGUUUGUUCUUCUUCGUUAUUCGUGCACUCUUCAACUACAUAUCUAGAGUUGAACAUUUUUCUCUGGAACAAACUACUACCAGGCUGGUGAGGUUCACAUUCCCUUGAACUGUUUGUGACUUGAGGGGAGAAAUGAAUGGACCUACUAUCGUUCUCUAUAAAAUCAAAGGAUGAUUUGUACUUAGAAGCAUCUUUCAUUGAUAGCUGGCCAGCUAUAGAAUCCAAUGAAGGAAAAUGAGACAAUGAGGGACUAGACUGGAAUAUCUUCAUUUGACUGUUAAACAUUUCUUUCCUUUGAUGUUCAUUCAUGAGAUCUCUUUGUCUUCUAUAUAGCCGGUGGAGUUCUUGGAUCUGUACGUGUAAACCACAUCAAGAGCACAUAAAUGUUAAAACUAUGAUCUCUUUAUUUUAGCCCUCCAUAGAAAUGCAACCAUUUGAGUGAGAAAUAGUUAAAAGUCAAUGUACCUGAUGCCUAAAAAUUGUUUCAUGCUCCAGAAUUGUCUGCCUCAUUUUUUCUCUGUCACAUCCCGAAUAUCCAUCAAUUGGUUGCGACGACAAAAUUGAAUCAGUGCACUGACUUCUUUUCCUUGACUUAUUUUCAUGAUCUAAGAGCCAUGGGGUAUUAGUUCCGUUGUUAUUUAGAUCACUCAUGGAGCAAAAUCCUGGCAAGUACGUCUUACAUUGUACUUUAGUGCCCAUUCCUGCAAUCAUACAAGGGGUAGAAAAAUGAUUAAGUCAGUAAAACAAUUAAACAGAGAGAAAAAAAGCUGAAAAACUGCAAACUAGACAGCAAAAAGAUCAAACACCACGAAUAAGACUUAACGGACUCUAAAUCAGACUAAUAGAAUCUUGCAAAUUUUUUAGAGGGAUUAUAACACAGUUGCAAGCUCAGUAAAAAAAAACAAUCAAUCCAAUCUACUUCAGUUCAACAAGCCAGAGUAAUCGCUUGAAAAUUCUAGUAAGAUCCACGAUGCUAAGAAAUCUUCUGGCUAUGCGAAUGAAAAGGAAAUUCCAAAAUUAAAACAUAUGUCUUCAGAUCACGGAAAGUGCUUCCGUUGAUCUUGCAUUAUACUUCUACUUCUCUCAUUUUUUGAGCCAUAGGCAUAACUUUUUCGUCUUACAAAACAAGUAUACCAACCCAAUUCAUUCAUGUAUAAUUGCUAUCUCUUUGCACGCCAAAUACAACAUUUUUGGACAUACAAAUAUACAAUCAUAGCGGAGGCCAAGUGAGGAAUUCCUCAGGCACGAUACACCCUGUCAAAUUGCCAGUGAGGUUCAAUAUUUACAGAAGUUAUAACAAACAUCAACAUAUCAAAGCCUGCUUACUUCUGAUGGGUUAACAAGUAUAUAACAAUAAAAUUAUUCAAUUUUCAAGUCAAAUUUUGGAAUUGAAGGCAAUGCAAUCUAUGAAUUAAUUCCUUACUUUUCCAUGAAAAAAUAAAAUAAAAAUUCCUUGUUCGAUUUUGCCCAAAAAAGGUAUGAAAUAUCAGUAAAAAAAACUUCUGGUCCAAUUUCCCAAUUCUCUUUUAUUUUCUUCCUUUCAAAUAAUCAAAACAUAAAGAUCAAAACCAAUACAUGAAAGCUCAAAAGGCAAACAGAGAAUAAAACUUGAAAAACAAGUAAACAACAUAAAAGAAAUUAAUAAAGUGAAAAUUUUAAAUUACCUCAAAAAAAAUCUCUUAUAACUCCUCUUCUUAACAACUUGAAAUUCAAUUUUGAGUCUCAGAAGAACAAACAAGCAUAAGAAUUCUGUUUUGUCACAGAAAUUCCUUUUUAAUAAAACCCUACACACCCAAAACAAGAAAAGCAACAACCUUUGUGUUGUCACUUCACAAACCUUAAAAACAAAAAAAUCAUAUCCACAAUCAAGAAUUCAAUUAAAAACACCAUAUAAUAAAAUUUAAAUUAAAAAAAAAGUACCCUUGUGGUGUGAUCAAUCAAAAGAAGCUAGAGAGAUCCCAGAUAAGAUUAAGAUCUCUCUCUUUGUUUCUCUCUCUACAGAGAAAAAAAAAUGAAGUCUUUUGAAAAAGCAAUGACUUAAAAAAUGUGGUCUCUUCAUAUACUUUUAUUUUUUGUUUCACCUUUCAAUCAUUUCUUUACCCAAUUGGCUAUCUUUGAUAGUUAUAUAACAACAAAGUAGUAUCAAAAUGAAUAAAAUAAAAUAUUUGACAGAUUUUAUUUUUCUGGUCUUUUGAGGAACUGAAAGACAUAGGUAUUUGUAGCACAUUUUCUAGAUUCUCUGUGACCCUCUCUCUUUCUCUCCUGCUUGUUGGGUACCACAUAAUUUAAUUUUAUAUUUCUUUAUUAUUGACAACUACUUUAGAUUAGGAUCAUUAUUUUAUAUAUAUAUAUAUAUAUAUAUAUAUAUAUUUUGAUCAUUAGUAAUAAUAAGUAAUUUGCUUUUAUUUUUCAAGUAAUUAAUAAACGAGUACUCAUAGCUAUAAUUAUCAUUUAAAUGAUUUGAUGCAACAUAAGAGAAAAUUAACUACUUUCAUAGUCCAUAUUUAUUUGUCCAUUAUAUUAUUUGGAAUGUCCAACAAUAAUUAUUCAGUUUAUAAAAUCAAUGAGUAAUAUAUAAUUUUAUGUGUAUUUUACACUUGUUAUUAAAACACAAGUUGUGUGAUGACUGAUGAGGCACAAAAUAUAAAAAAUAUCUUUAUGAUCCAAUCAAAUUCAUGAUAGUAGAUAUUGUAGAGCCCUACUAUAAUUUUAGGGGAAAAAAAUUUGGCCAGAAAUUAUCUAUGUUAUUUUACCUUUUUAAACAUUUUUACCCUUUUAAUUUUAAUACAUUUUAACUCAAAAAUGAAAAAAAGAUCAGUUUAUUUUAAAAUAAAAAAAAUAUUAUAUUUUUUUAAUUUUCUGACCACUUAACAUUCCCUUUUCAAUAUUAGAUAACUUAUAUUUAAUAAGGGUGAUUUGAUAAAAUUACCCCUAUCAUUUAGUGUUUCUUAAUCCUUGUGUCAAGUUAAUAAGUACUACUCAGUUUUCAUUUUGCAUCCAACUCGGAAACUAAAAUCCACAAACAAAUGCUCAUAAAUGUAAAAGGGAAAAUUUUACAAAAAAGUAAAUGGAGUGAAAUUGGAAGGUGAAAUUUCGGACUCGGUCAUUGUGGUUCGAAAUUAUUUUUUCUCAAAUUGUGAGGAGUUCAAGAAGAAAGUUAAACUCUAUUUUUUGAAAAUUUAGUGUGAUUUAGGUGAUUAUUGUUGCGAAAAAAUGAUUAAUAGAUGAUUAACUAAGCAUAAAUUAGUAAUUACAAAUUGUUUUGGCAUUUCUCUGGACUAAAAUCUGUGCUUUACUUUAGUAAAUUUCAGAUUACUCUCCCCUGGUGUUUGGGUUAAACAAUUUUUUUUUUCCAGUUAGGUAAUUACAGUUGAAAACAUUUGUAACAACUAAUAUAAACCUGAUAAUUUUUGCUUUGUUCUUAGCUGCGCAUAAUGCCCGAAGCCUUCACAAUCACAUUCACCAUGGUCCAUGUAUAAUAUAUAGUUUCAGAUGCCAAAGUUGAUUCCUUCACUGUUCCUCGAACUACCAAACAAGCAUAUGAAAGCGAUCAAAUACCUAAUUGUACUAAACUUAUAUGAUCGGGGCCACGCCUUAAUCUUUUUAAAAACAUCUAAUUAAUCACUCUGUUUCUGCAGAAAUCAUUCUUCAAUUCAGCCAUGGAGAUGUCUGAUUCUAUUGUCAACUAUGCAAAGCCAGUUCACAUAUUAUUUCUCCCAAGUGGUCUGGGAGUGGGACAAAUGGUUCCAUUUUUUCGAUUAGCUUCCAUGUUAGCUUCACACAGAUGUAGAAUCACCUUCAUCACUAUGCUACUUGAAAUAUCUACCACAGAGUCCAUCUUGAUCAACAACUUUUUCGCCAAUCACCUAGAAAUCAAUCGAAUAGAUUUUCAAAUUCUUCCUUUGAAUACCUCUACUUGCUCAAUUAGUGAUCCAUUCAUCAUGCAAAUUGAUGCUAUUAGUAACUCACUUCACCAGCUCGGCCCUCUGGUGUCUUCUUUGGAUGAACCAGUUUCUGCUAUUGUCUCAGACUUUAUUCUUGCAUCUAGUCUUUCACAAAUAGCUAAUAAUCUCAAUAUUCCUCUUUACAAUAUCUCCACAACAUCAGCUAAAUUUUACUCUACUGUAGCGUACCUUCCUGUACUGUUAUCCAAAGAUCCUGAUGCAUUUAAGUACUGCUCGGGCAAUCUUGAGAUUCCAGGUAUAGGAUCAGUUCCAAAAUCAAGCAUUCCCCGUUCAUGGCUGGACGAUUCACCAUCAAACUAUGUAUUGAAAGACUACUUGCUGCCAAAUACUCGAGCUCUUCCUCAAGUGACUGGUGUCUUUCUGAACACCUUUGACUGGUUUGAACCAGAAACAAUUGCUUCCCUCGAUGAUGGAAGAGUAACCAGUUCACUUCCACUUGUUUUUCCUGUUGGUCCUGUGGGAAAUUACAACCUAGGAGAAGACAAUCAGUGUUCAUGGUUAGAUGAACAACCUGCUGAAUCAGUUGUAUAUGUUAACUUUGGUACUAGAGAGCCGAUUUCUGCACAACAACUAAGAGAAAUAGGAGAAGGACUAGAGAUAUGCGGAUAUAAGUUUCUAUGGGUGCUAAAAGAAGAGCUUCUAGAGUUGUUUGGGAAUACAGUCCUGGUAGAGAUGGAAAAGAAAGGGAAAAUAAUGAAACCAGGGGAUUAUGAGGCAGCUAUUAUGGACCAUCCAGCCAUUGGACUUUUCGUGAACCAGUGCGAAUGGGAUUCAGUGAUGAAUGCAGCUUGGUCAGGAGUGCCAAUGAUGGCGUGGCCACAGCAUGGUGAUCAAAAGUUGAAUGCAGAAGUUGUAGAGAAGGCAGGAUUGGGGAGGUGGGUAGAAGAAUGGGGUUGGGGUGAGGAAAAUCUAGUGAAUGGUGGGGAGAUUGCAGAGAUGGUGAAAAACUUAAUGGGAGAUGUUAAUAUGAAGAUAAAUGCUAUGAAAGUGAGGGAACAAGCUAGGAAGGCCAAGGAAAUCGGAGGGAGCUCAGAAAAGAGGCUGAGGAAAUUCAUCGAAACAUUAACAGCAGAACAAAAAUGAUGUAUCUACGCCAUUCCUAUUGAUCCUUUGCUUGUAAAAAUAAAUGUAACUGCAAUUCGUAAGCUGUUAAAGUCAAAAGAUUGCAGGCCAGGCCAACAACACACGAAUAAGUUAAAGCACAAUAAGAAUCAAAUGCAGUCCAUUAAAGCAAGUUUACAGGUGUAAAGUGGAAGCUCCUGAUAUCAAGAUCCACAGGAGUUAACAAAUUGUUAAACAAAGUAGAGCUUAUCCAGUAAUCUAAAUACGGAAAGAAAAAUGUCGAGGAAGCACCUUAAGGUAUUAAGCAAGCACAUAAACAUUCAGAAAAACGUCUGGAAGAAAAACAUACAAUGAAAGCAUAAGUAACUAGUAUCAUUCUCCCUUUAGAGGAAGUUCAAAUUUUCCCAUGUGAAUAGAAGGGAACACUACCAUUUAGUUAGAUUGUCUUCUUUGAAAUAACAUCAAAAGAUAUUCCAUUGUGUUGAAGCCUGUUUUGGAGGUCGGUUGGGCCAAACACAACCCCAGGUGGGAAAACACCUCCUUUUGGAAGAUUGUUUCGUUCCUUGAGCAAAAUGAGAGCACACUGGACAAGAAUGAUUGGAGUUGUUAAAUAACCAAUCUCAGGUCCCAUUACUCUUGUAAUUAUCUCUGUAUCAGGUUUCAUGUUUCCUUGUGAUGCAAGACUGCCAUCGCUAAACCCAUGUCCGACAAACCACAUCUUAAAGGUAGCACUUGCCACUUCAUCUUCAGUUGGACCUUUUUUCCUGAACCAUCCAAGACUGAACAAUGAAGGGAAUUUCAAUAGCAGCCACCUCCAUAAACCAGUUUUACCAAAGAGACCAAUGAACAGCCCGACUAUAAUGAAACGAACAAUUCCUAACGGAGAUUUUGAAGCUAUCUUCACACCAAAGUGAGCUGGCUUUAUGCUUGACCAAAAUGUCUCCCUCCUCUCAACUUGUUCAGUGCUUUCAUUAACACCAGGUAAACCAUGAGGAUUUUCAGCCAAACAUGAAAGUGUUCUUCGGACUACAAUUGCAUCUGCUGAUGGUAACUUUACAGCCCAAACACCAACUUCCUUUAGGUGGUCCAUCAACGGACCUUUAGGAGGAGGAGGACCAGGAAUCUAAAACAAACAGGAAAAUAUUAGAGAGUGAGUGAAUAUGUGUCACAGAUAUAAUGUGUUAUUUUACAGAGGAAACACUGAAAAUUACUGUACCACAGCAGCAUGGUACAUAGUAUGGCUUUGUGCAAUGAGUAAUCUAGCAAAUGUUGCAGGUAUUAAAUAAGCCCAUCUCUAACAAUGAAUCUCUAUUAAAAGUAUGCAUAUAAUAAAAAUGUUGAUCCCUGUCAUGCACGGAUUCGAGCUAUCCAUCAUAAGGCUACGAAUUUCUACCAUAUACUCAUCAGCAUCAUCACAUAUUGACUACGACACACAUUUUAGGGAAAGAGUUAAUUGGUUCUCAAAUUUCCACAUGUAAAAUACAUUUUUAUAAUGAUGCGAACAUUCUGCAAAAUGAGGAAAACAACCUUAACAUAAUGGACUUUGAUUGCAGUUUACACCUUCAAACACAAACUGAUUAAUUGAUUUCUAAGUUGUAAUGAUUAAUUGCUUCUUAACCUACAGUAUUCCUCCAGUGAAAGAAGAGAACAAAAAAAAAUCCAUUACUCUUUCUCAAUACUGAUGCAAUCUUUUCAAAGACAAAAUCACUUCUCAUUUAGCAUCAUUCCCUGCCACAUAAUUAACACACCACAGGACCAAAUUGCAUCAAAUAGUUGUUGGCCGUAGCAAGUAGACUGAUGGAUUCAUGAAACUGCGUGUACAUAUUUAUAUGUGUGCUUUCAUAGAGGAAGAAAAGGGUGAAUCAUAAAUCUGGAGGUUCUCACAGCAGUAAUCACAUUUUAAUACCACUCACAAAUUGGUUCAACUUAUAUUUAUCCAUAUCCCAUGACACAAGACUUAAGUUUCAAUCAGUUAAAAUCACAGGGGAUAUAUUGCUUGCGAAGCACACUCCCAGUUUAUCAACUUCAAUUUCUUCUGAUAUGGCUAUAUAGUAGACCAUUUGAAUUUAUGUAAAAUUUUCUCCACAAAGAAUGCUAAAAUUGCCAGAUACCCUGAACUAGAGAAGCCAGAUACAAAUUUAUAAGUAACACAUAAAUAUUGAGUUAUAUUUUUUUUUAAAUGAGCUGUGUAAGGGCUAAGGCUUUGCUCUGUUGAUAACCAUGGUGUAUGAGUUAGCUUGCAUGUCUCGUAAUCCCCGCUAAAGUACACAUAACCUCAACAUCGGGAUGCACACGUAGGAGGGGGUUGAGUUAUAUUUGUCAAUUUGUCCUUCCAUUGGGAGUUCCUUAUGACUAAAUAAACUAAGAUGUUACCAUGACUGCAAUUUAAGGAGGCAAAACAGAUGGUUGGGUAAUGGAAUUGAGACCAAGAUCAUCAGUAUCAACAUGAAAUGAAGCCUUACCACAGGACGAGGCCUCUUUGGUCUGCUCCGCCGCAGCUCCUGUAAUUUGUCCACAUUAGCCACACCAAGCACCGCUGACUCAUACGUCCCCAAAUUUCCAACAAUUCUCUUGUCCGAUUCUAGACUAAGGUAGGCCUCAACACUGUUAGGAACAGCCGGCGGCAGCCACUGUCUCGAAUUGAACAUCAAUCCCAAUUCAGCAGGAAUAGAAUCAAACCCACAUGCCGAAACAACUAAGGAUCCAUUUUCCACAGCCUUAUCAUGGUACUUCACCUCCAUCCUCUCCAUAAACUCAGGCUCCCCAGAAAUAUCCAAGUAAUCGCAUCCAGAAUCAGCACAGGCCUCAACAACAGGCUCACCAUAAAGACGAAACGGUCCGACACAGUUAAGAAUGAUCUUAGUCUGUGAAGCAAGGUCACGGAGGGAAGAUGGGUCAGUGGUAUUGGCAGUGAGAAUGGGGAUUUCGGGAGGUGGGUUUGGACGGGAAGCCCAUUGAAGAGCCUGGGAAAGCUUUGAAGUGUUACGGCCAGCAAUGGCUAAAUUCUUCAAGGGGGAAGAGGGAACAUUGAGGAAUUUGAGAGCUUCUCUAAUGACGUACUUCCCAGUAAAACCUGAAGCGC
rnacentral:lncRNA from 1 species